rnacentral:rRNA from 1 species
AAGCGCACACGGUGGAUGCCUAGGCAGCCAGAGGCGAUGAAAGACGUGGUAGCCUGCGAUAAGGCUCGGUGAGGUGGCAACAACCUGUGACCCGGGCAUUUCUGAAUGGGGAAACCCACUCAUCAUAAGAUGAGUAUCGUGCACUGAAU